GUGAGGAAUAUUGCGCAAUGGAGGAAACUCUGACGCAGCGACGCCGCGUGAAGGAUGAAUGCCUUCUGGGUUGUAAACUUCUGUAGAGAGGGAAGAAUGUCCGCCUUCGGCGGAUUGACGGUACCUCUAAAGUAAGCAUCGGCUAACUACGUGCCAGCAGCCGCGGUAAUACGUAGGAUGCGAGCGUUGUCCGGAUUCACUGGGUGUAAAGGGAGCGCAGGCGGGCUUUCAAGUCAGUGGUGAAAUCUCACAGCUCAACUGUGAAAUUGCCGCUGAUACUGUAGGCCUUGAGUACGGAAAAGGGUGAUAGAAUUCAUGGUGUAGCGGUGAAAUGCGUAGAUAUCAUGAAGAAUACCAGUUGCGAAGGCGGUCACCUGGUCCGUUACUGACGCUCAUGCUCGAAAGUGUGGGGAGCAAACA
rnacentral:rRNA from 1 species